rnacentral:rRNA from 1 species
CACGUAGGGUGCGAGCGUUGUCCGGAAUUAUUGGGCGUAAAGAGCUCGUAGGCGGUGUGUCGCGUCGGGCGUGAAAACCUGCAGCUUAACUGUGGGCUUGCGGUCGAUACGGGCAUCACUGGAGUUCGGCAGGGGAGACUGGAAUUCCUGGUGUAGCGGUGAAAUGCGCAGAUAUCAGGAGGAACACCGGUGGCGAAGGCGGGUCUCUGGGCCGACAUUGACGCUGAGGCGCGAAAGCCAGGGGAGCAAACGGG